GAUGAACGCUAGCUACAGGCUUAACACAUGCAAGUCGAGGGGCAGCAUGGUCUUAGCUUGCUAAGACUGAUGGCGACCGGCGCACGGGUGAGUAACACGUAUCCAACCUGCCGUCUACUCUUGGACAGCCUUCUGAAAGGAAGAUUAAUACAAGAUGGCAUCAUGAGUCCGCAUGUUCACAUGAUUAAAGGUAUUCCGGUAGACGAUGGGGAUGCGUUCCAUUAGAUAGUAGGCGGGGUAACGGCCCACCUAGUCUUCGAUGGAUAGGGGUUCUGAGAGGAAGGUCCCCCANAUUGGAACUGAGACACGGUCCAAACUCCUACGGGAGGCAGCAGUGAGGAAUAUUGGGUCCAAUGGGCGAGAGCCUGAACCAGCCAAGUAGCGUGCAGGAAGAAGGAUCUAUGGUUUGUAAAACUUCUUUUAUAGGGGAAUAAAGUGGAGGACGUGUCCUUUUUGUAUGUACCCUAUGAAUAAGCAUCGGCUAACUCCGUG
rnacentral:rRNA from 1 species